rnacentral:snRNA from 1 species
GGAUGUGAGGACGAUCUGGCUGUGACCUCUGUCACCCCAUUGAUCACCAGGAUUGAUUCAGCUGAUCUGACUGGCAGAUGUCCCCUUACUCCCUCACCACCCCAUGUGUGUCCCUCCCAAAGUGGAGCUCUGCAUCAAAGAGGUCGACAGUCCCUUGAUAGAGGAAGGCUGUUCUUUGGUCAAGGGUAUAUGAGUAGCUGUGGUUCCCUGCUAGAACCUUCUUCUUCUUCUUCUUCUUCUUCUUCUUCUUUUUUUUUUUUUUGGUCUUUUAAGCUUUUAUUUAAGGGCGAUGAUCUAUGAUGUAGAUUUUAGAUCUU